rnacentral:rRNA from 1 species
UACAGAGGUCUCAAGCGUUGUUCGGAAUUACGUGGCGUAAAGGGCUCGUAGGCGGCCAACUAAGUCAGACGUGAAAUCCCUCGGCUUAACCGGGGAACUGCGUCUGAUACUGGAUGGCUGGAGUUUGGGAGAGGGAUGCGGAAUUCCAGGUGUAGCGGUGAAAUGCGUAGAUAUCUGGAGGAACACCGGUGGCGAAGGCGGCAUCCUGGACCGGCAUGACGCUGAGGCGCGAAAGCCAGGGAGCAAAGCGGG